GCCUGGCUGGCUCAGUCGGUAGAGCAUGUGACUCUUGAUCUCAGGGUUGUGGGUUCAAGCCCCAUGUUUGGCG